CGGUUGAUCCUGCCGGACCCGACUGCUAUUUGGGUGAGGCUAAACCAUGCGAGUUGUAUGGGAUACCUAAAUUUCCCAUAGCAAACUGCUUAGUAACACAUGAUCAACUUACCCUAUGGAGAAAUAUAACCUCGGGAAACUGAGGAUAAUUUUUCAUAGUUGAAUAGGCUUGGAAAAGUUUUUCAAUGAAAGGGAUAAGAAAAAUGGUUCUUAUCUGUCAUAGGAUAGGAUCGUGGUCGAUUAUGGUUGUUGGUGAGGUAACGGCUCACCAAGCCGAUAAUCGAUAGGGGCCGUGAGAGCGGGAGCCCCAAGAUGGGUACUGAGACAGCGACCCAGGCCUUACGAGGCGCAGCAGGUACGAAACCUCCGCAAUACACGAAAGUGUGACGGGGUUACCCAAAGUGUUCAUUAUUGAACUGUGGCAGGUGAGUAAUGUCCCCUGCUAGAAAGGAGAGGGCAAGGCUGGUGCCAGCCGCCGCGGUAAAACCAGCUCUUCAAGUGGUCGGGAUAAUUAUUGGGCUUAAAGUGUCCGUAGCCGGUUUAGUAAGUUCCUGGUAAAAUCGGGUAGCUUAACUAUCUGUAUGCUAGGAAUACUGCUAUACUAGAGGGCGGGAGAGGUCUGAGGUACUACAGGGGUAGGGGUGAAAUCUUAUAAUCCUUGUAGGACCACCAGUGGCGAAAGCGUCAGACUGGAACGCGCCUGACGGUGAGGGACGAAAGCCAGGGAGCGAACCGGAUUAGAUACCCGGGUAGUCCUGGCCGUAAACGAUGCAUACUAGGUGAUGGUACGGCCAUGAGCCGUGUCAGUGCCGUAGGAACCGUUAGUGUGCCCCCCGGGGAGUACGGCGCAAGCUAAACUUAAAGGAAUUGGCGGGGGAGCAC
rnacentral:rRNA from 1 species